CUGUUAAGACUUUGACUGGCUUAAUAUUUUCAUGCGUGCGUAUGCAUUCACGAUUGAAUCAGUCUUCUUUCUCACGGACUAAUGGCAUCCUCUGUUAUGCAUGAUUCGUAGCAUGAUCUCGUAGUCUUAGAAUAUUGGUUCUGAACAUUCAUGUAGGCCUGUUUUUGUGGAGAAAUUCAAAAUUCAAACCUAUUUCUCCCGUUCAGCAUCAUAGAGUUUGUAAUAUAUUAGCCAAAUGCACGAAGGAAUUUUUGUGGUCCUUGGGGUGUGACUUCAGGGCAGAACAAUGCGCCGGAAAUGAAAUCUAAGAAGAACCUUGGACUUUUUCAGCAGGGAAUAAAGCAAUCACAGGCAUGAUUUCCAGGGAGGCAAGUCCCAGACACUGCUCCCUUAACCUUAUCCAUGCAUGCUCCGGCGCACAUUGCAUUGUUACAUCCCUCCAGCUUUAUCUUCUCCGAGCAAUCAGAGAUUGGUCCUUCAUCACCUGUCAUAACAAGAGUCAUGUUUUUCAAGAAUUAUUAUCAAGCAGAAAAGAUAAUUAGAGGGAGAAGUUUGUAGGAGUAAUACUCAACAGGUAUAGUAACAAUUGCAGGCUUGUUUGUCGGGGAGGAGGCAGAAAGCCAUUUCCGUGGUGUUAAACUGCUUUUCACAUGCAGCAAAGCACAUUUUGUCAUCA